rnacentral:rRNA from 1 species
ACGAACGCUGGCGGCAGGCCUAACACAUGCAAGUCGAACGCUCUAGCAAUAGAGAGUGGCGCACGGGUGCGUAACGCGUGGGAAUAUGCCCUUCACUACGGAACAACGUCGGGAAACUGACGCUAAUACCGUAUAAUGACUCCGGUCCAAAGAUUUAUCGGUGAAGGAUUAGCCCGCGUCUGAUUAGGUAGUUGGUGAGGUAACGGCUCACCAAGCCGACGAUCAGUAGCUGGUCUGAGAGGAUGAUCAGCCACACUGGGACUGAGACACGGCCCAGACUCCUACGGGAGGCAGCAGUGAGGAAUAUUGGACAAUGGGCGCAAGCCUGAUCCAGCCAUGCCGCGUGAGUGAAGAAGGCCUUCGGGUUGUAAAGCUCUUUCAGGUGCGACGAUAAUGACGGUAACACCAGAAGAAGCCCCGGCUAAAUUCGU